CUCCCCCUUAUCUCUUCCUAGACGUCUACUUUCUCUCUCUAAAAAAAUACCACUAUCUCUCUCUCUUCCCUCUCUUCCUUUUUUGAGUUUGAAUCUCUACUUUCUCUCUUUAUUUUCUCUCACUAAAUUUUUUUCUUUCUAGACCGUUUCCCUCUAUCUGUAAUUUUCUCUCCAUGAUUGAUCCAGUAAAAGAUGUUUUUAAUAAUUCUAAUCUAAUUCUAGUAAAGCAAAUCGUGAUCUAUGGUCAUCGGACAGCAUGCCAGUAUCCAUCUUGAUUAGAUAAAAAAUCUUUAGAUUUGAUCAUCCUUAAUUAGAUAAAAUUAACAUGAUUGGA
rnacentral:lncRNA from 1 species